AAUGAACGCUAGCGGCAUGCCUAAGGCAUGCAAGUCGAACGAGAAAAUUCUCUUCGGAGAAUGAGUAGAGUGGCGCACGGGUGAGUAGCACUUAGGUAAUGUACCUUUUCGCUGGGGACAACUUCGGGAAACUGAAGCUAAUACCGAAUAUUCCCAAUUUUACUGCGGUUUAAUUGGGGAAAGCCUUCGGGCGCGAAAAGAGCAGCCUGAGCCCCAUUAGCUUGUUGGUAGGGUAAAAGCCUACCAAGGCGACGAUGGGUAGCUGGUUUGAGAGAAUGAUCAGCCACACUGGUACUGGAAUACGGACCAGACUCCUACGGGAGGCAGCAGCUAGGAAUAUUGCGCAAUGGGGGAAACCCUGACGCAGCAAUGCCGCGUGAACGAGGAAGGCUUUCGGGUCGUAAAGUUCUUUUAUAAGGGAAGAAAAAAAUGACGGUACCUUAUGAAUAAGCACCGGCUAACUCCG
rnacentral:rRNA from 1 species